UGGGGAAUUUUGGACAAUGGGCGAAAGCCUGAUCCAGCAAUGCCGCGUGUGUGAAGAAGGCCUUCGGGUUGUAAAGCACUUUUGUCCGGAAAGAAAUCCUUGGCUCUAAUACAGUCGGGGGAUGACGGUACCGGAAGAAUAAGCACCGGCUAACUACGUGCCAGCAGCCGCGGUAAUACGUAGGGUGCAAGCGUUAAUCGGAAUUACUGGGCGUAAAGCGUGCGCAGGCGGUUUGCUAAGACCGAUGUGAAAUCCCCGGGCUCAACCUGGGAACUGCAUUGGUGACUGGCAGGCUAGAGUAUGGCAGAGGGGGGUAGAAUUCCACGUGUAGCAGUGAAAUGCGUAGAGAUGUGGAGGAAUACCGAUGGCGAAGGCAGCCCCCUGGGCCAAUACUGACGCUCAUGCACGAAAGCGUGGGGAGCAAACAGGAUUAGAUACCCUGGUAGUCCACGCCCUAAACGAUGUCAACUAGUUGUUGGGGAUUCAUUUCCUUAGUAACGUAGCCAACGCGUGAAGUUGACCGCCUGGGGAGUACGGUCGCAAGAUUAAAACUCAAAGGAAUUGACGGGGUCAUAGCUGUUUCCU
rnacentral:rRNA from 1 species